GUGUUCCCUGCGUCAACAAUUUAUUCAUUCCACAAACAUUUCUAAGUGUCCAUGGUGACCCAGACAUCAUGGGAACUUCAGGGUUCCAGAGCUGAGUAGAACACAACUCCCAUCCUUAGGGAUUCACCAUCCAGUAGAGGAGAAAGACGUCGAGACAGAAGACAGAAGGGAAAGGAAAAGCUCAAUGCUGUGCCUUCAACUUAGCUUCUCCAUUUUUUGGAGAAGGGUUAAUAGGGGAAGCAGAGAGAGAGAGAUGAGAGACCAAAGUUUCUAGGGCCUUUAUCUCCAGAGCAGAGGGUCUGAAACCUUAGUGAGCAAAAACUGAUCCGGAAGACUUGUUGGAGGCAUACCUUCCAGUUCAGCGAGCCAUUUCAGCAGAUUGGAGAUCCCCUGCCUGCAGCACGUGCUGAUCUCCAAGGGUGAGGCUGGAUGAAGCCAGGGGCUAUGGAAAGGGAGACUGUUUCAGAGGACUUGACACCAUCUUCAGUAAUUUCUCUGGUUCUUGGCAGCUCCAUUUGGCUGCGUCCCUACCCUGCAUAACCCUCCCAGCUAGUCUACUCCAGGGCAGCAUCCAGCUGGUGACCUGAGAGGGCAGUGGCGCACCAGUCUCCAUGAAGGUUGAGCUCCGAUGGCCAACAGCCAUUUCCACCUUGUGGUCUACAACUCUUCAUCCCGACUGCAUGGAGGUUGGUCUCUCUCUUCAGCUGGAUUUAGGCCACCAUCUGAGCCCCCGGGGUACGUUUUGUCUGACCCUGGCGCCAUUCGAACGGUUCUUCUACAGCAUCAGUUCUCUUUCCUGCCACCAUGUGAAGAAGGACAUGUUUGCUUCCCCUUCUGCCAUGAAUGGACAGGGUCCUGCUGUGUUGCCCAGGCUGGCCUUGAACUCCUGGCUUCAAACAGUCUUCCCACUUGGGCUCCCAAAGUGCUGGGAUUAAAGGGGCGAGUUACAGCACCAGGACCUGAAAUGCAUCAUGUGUCAUUCUCACAGCUGUUAGGACUUCAAUGAUGUUAUAAGGAAGUUGGGGCUCAGAGAAGCUACAGAACUUACCCAAGGACACACAGCCAUCACGAAAAACAUGGCCAGCAAAGCAGGUGAGGCAAAGAUCAGGAAGGACAUUAAACGCCAAACUAAGGAGCGGAACUGAAUGAGCAGUGAAGGGGAACAAUGGCUUCAGCAGGUCCACUGGGCUCCUCUUUUCUGUCAGCCUCCCCCUACCCCUCACCUCUGUACUACUCAUGUUACUAUCUACGUCUCUUCACCAAUGUCAUUGUGGAAAUAAAAGCUUAUCUGUAAGAGUACUGAUGAAGUAUUAACUCACCCCCUUUAAGUUCCACCCUCCAUAAAGCUAAAAGUCAGCAAACCAAUUUAAGUGAUCUAUUUUAGAAUUUCAGCAAACUUUGAAAAUCUGAGGCAGUGCUGCCUAGCAACGAGAGUGAGGAUGUAGAGGUGGUCUCAGCUGAGAUUCGAGAUGUGCUGUGGAUUCACUGCUUCCCUUGAUUUUCCUGAUCUGAGCCUUGGUUUCCUCAUCUGGGCAAUGGGGCUUCCAUAUUCUCUAAGGACAUCGAAUCCCCUAUGGGGUGGCUUCUGUAUCUGAGGACAGAGGAGAACAGGAGUCCCAGGGAGGGUGCUAAGUGCCCCGGA
rnacentral:lncRNA from 10 species